rnacentral:tRNA from 1 species
GCCAUCGUAGCUCAGUGGUAGAGCAACUGAUUCGUAAUCAGUAGGUCGUGGGUUCAACUCCCGUCGAUGGCUCCA